rnacentral:lncRNA from 1 species
UCUUUUUCCUUCAAGGCAUCAACGGCAACAUUAUCCUUACUAUGGUCGUUUGCAUUACCAACUUCUUCCACCAUCUGUGUGGGCUCCUUAGUUUCAACUAGAUUCCUCGACAAAUCCUCUGGCUGAACCGAAAUGGUCAUAUCGCUGGCUUCACCAUCAAUCAUGUUUCUCUCGUCUGAUGGGUUCUCGACCUUUCUCUCUUCCUCUGAACUUAAUGCAGAAGACAAAUGCUCUAGUUGAUCCUUUGGUUCUUUUUCCUCCAAGACACCAGUGGCCACAUUAUCCUCACUAUGGUCGUUUGCAUUACCAACUUCGUCCCCCAUCUGUGUGAGCUCCUUAGUUUCAACUAGCUUCAUAGACAAAUCCUCUUGCUGAACCGAAAUGGUCUUAUCGCUGGCCUCACCAUCAAUCAUGUUUCUUUCGUCGGAUGGUUUCUCGGCUUUGGCAUCUUCCUCUGAACAUAAUGCUGAAGACAUAUGCUCUAGUUGAUCCUUUGAUUCUUCUUUUUCCUCCAAGACACCAAUGGCCACAUUAUCUUCAGAAUGAUCGUUUGCACUACCACUUUCCCCCAUAUGUGUGGGCUCCUCAGUGUCAACUAGAUUCCUCGACAAAUCCUCUGGUCGAACCAAAAUGGUCAUAUCGCCGGCUUCACCAUCAAUCAUGUUUCUUUCGUGAGAUGGGUUCUCGGCCUUGGUCUCUUCCUCGGAACUUAAUGCUGAAGACAAAUGCUCUAGUUGAUCCUUCGAUUCUUCUUUUUCCUCCGAGACACCAAUAGCCACAUUAUCUUCAGAAUGGUCGUUUGCAUUACCAACUUCCCCCAUCUGUGUGGGAUCCUCAGUUUCAACUAAAUUCCUCGACAAAUCCUCUGG